rnacentral:lncRNA from 1 species
GUGUGCCACCAACACCCAUGUGAAUUGAGGCAUAAGGAUUAACCAUUUGAGUCACCCCAAAUCCUUUUUCUCAUUAACUUUUUAUUUAAGAUUUCCAUUUUCCCAAAGUUCUUCCUUUUGAUUUUUUAUGGCUGACUUUAUAAUCUGGGGAAAUUUUUAACAGAGGAAAUUGUGUCUGUGCAUUUAUUGUUUAUAGUUAUUUUGCAUAGAAGGUAGUUUCCUUACUGUUCUUAGCUCAGAGCUCACCUAGUUAUCUUGCUCAGUGAAGACCACCCUUUUCUUUGGUGGGGUGUGGCACAGAAUUCGGCAGGAGCCCAAGUGGUGUGUAUAACACUGGACUUUUGUUU